rnacentral:rRNA from 1 species
GACGAACGCUGGCGGCGUGCCUAAUACAUGCAAGUCGAACGCACAGUUUAUACCGUAGCUUGCUACACCAUAGACUGUGAGUUGCGAACGGGUGAGUAACGCGUAGGUAACCUGCCUGGUAGCGGGUGAUAACUAUUGGAAACGAUAGCUAAUACCGCAUAAUAUUAAUUAUUGCAUGAUAAUUGAUUGAAAGAUGCAACUGCAUCACUACCAGAUGUACCUGCGUUGUAUUAGCUAGUAGGUGAGGUAACGGCUCACCUAGGCGACGAUACAUAGCCGACCUGAGAGGGGGAUCGGCCACACUGGGACUGAGACACGGCCCAGACUCCUACGGGAGGCAGCAGUAGGGAAUCUUCGGCAAUGGACGAAAGUCUGACCGAGCAACGCCGCGUGAGUGAAGAAGGGUUUCGGAUCGUAAAGAUCUGUUGUAAGAGAAGAACGGGUGUGAGAGUGGAAAGUUCACACUGUGACGGUAACUUACCAGAAAGGGACGGCUAACUACGUG